CAUGCAAGUCGCACGGCACCAGCCCUUCGGGGUGUUGGCGAGUGGCGCACGGGUGAGUAACGCGUAGGUCAUCUGCCCUUAGGUCAGGGAUAGCCCUUCGAAAGUUGGAUUAAUACCUGAUAAUAUGGCGACAUCAAAGGAUUUAUUCGCCUAAGGAUGAGCCUGCGUUAGAUUAGCUUGUUGGUGAGGUAAUGGCUCACCAAGGCGACGAUCUAUAGCCGAGUUGAGAGGCUGAUCGGCCACAUUGGAACUGAGACACGGUCCAGACUCCUACGGGAGGCAGCAGCUAAGAAUCUUCCGCAAUGGGCGCAAGCCUGACGGAGCGACGCCGCGUGAACGAUGAAGGCCUUUCGGGUUGUAAAGUUCUUUUAUAAGAGACGAAUGUCUGGUGUAGAUCAGACUGACUGUAUCUUUUGAAUAAGGUCCGGCUAACUACGUGCCAGCAGCCGCGGUAAUACGUAGGGACCAAGCGUUGUUCGGAAUUAUUGGGCGUAAAGGGUACGUAGGCGGCAUGAUAAGUCAGAUGUGAAACCCUCGGGCUCAACCUGAGGCCUGCGUCUGAUACUGUUGUGCUAGAGUUACUGAGAGGAAGACGGAAUUCCUGGUGUAGGGGUGACAUCUAUCGAUCUCAGGAAGAACACCUAUUGCGAAGGCAGUCUUCUGGCAGCUAACUGACGCUGAUGUACGAAAGUUAGGGUAGCAAACAGGAUUAGAGACCCUGGUAGUCCUAACCGUAAACGUUGUAUACU
rnacentral:rRNA from 1 species